GGUGAACGCUGGCGGCGUGCCUAAUACAUGCAAGUCGAGCGAACAGACGAGGAGCUUGCCCCUCUGACGUUAGCGGCGGACGGGUGAGUAACACGUGGAUAACCUACCUAUAAGACUGGGAUAACUUCGGGAAACCGGAGCUAAUACCGGAUAAUAUAUUGAACCGCAUGGUUCAAUAGUGAAAGACGGUUUUGCUGUCACUUAUAGAUGGAUCCGCGCCGCAUUAGCUAGUUGGUAAGGUAACGGCUUACCAAGGCAACGAUGCGUAGCCGACCUGAGAGGGUGAUCGGCCACACUGGAACUGAGACACGGUCCAGACUCCUACGGGAGGCAGCAGUAGGGAAUCUUCCGCAAUGGGCGAAAGCCUGACGGAGCAACGCCGCGUGAGUGAUGAAGGUCUUCGGAUCGUAAAACUCUGUUAUUAGGGAAGAACAAAUGUGUAAGUAACUAUGCACGUCUUGACGGUACCUAAUCAGAAAGCCACGGCUAACUACGUG
rnacentral:rRNA from 1 species